rnacentral:piRNA from 1 species
UAAUUCUGAACUUCUCAGGGU